UACAUAGGCUCCAAGCGUUGUUCGGAAUUACUGGGCGUAAAGCGAGUGUAGGCUGUCCGCCAAGUCGGUUGUGAAAUCUCCCGGCUCAACUGGGAGGGUGCGGUCGAAACUGGCGGACUAGAGUUCGAGAGAGGUGAGUGGAAUUCCGAGUGUAGAGGUGAAAUUCGUAGAUAUUCGGAGGAACACCAGUGGCGAAGGCGGCUCACUGGCUCGAUACUGACGCUGAGGUGCGAAAGCGUAGGGAGCAAACAGG
rnacentral:rRNA from 1 species